CCUACGUGAGGCAGCAGUGGGGAAUAUUGGACAAUGGGCGAAAGCCUGAUCCAGCCAUGCCGCGUGUGUGAAGAAGGCCUUCGGGUUGUAAAGCACUUUCAGUGGGGAAGAAAGCCUUGGGGCUAAUACCCUCGAGGAAGGACAUCACCCACAGAAGAAGCACCGGCUAACUCCGUGCCAGCAGCCGCGGUAAUACGGAGGGUGCGAGCGUUAAUCGGAAUUACUGGGCGUAAAGCGCGCGUAGGCGGUCUGAUAAGCCGGUUGUGAAAGCCCCGGGCUCAACCUGGGAACGGCAUCCGGAACUGUCAGGCUAGAGUGUAGGAGAGGAAGGUAGAAUUCCCGGUGUAGCGGUGAAAUGCGUAGAGAUCGGGAGGAAUACCAGUGGCGAAGGCGGCCUUCUGGACUGACACUGACGCUGAGGUGCGAAAGCGUGGGUAGCAAACAGGAUUAGAUACCCGGGUAGUC
rnacentral:rRNA from 1 species